rfam:TPA: Bos taurus chromosome 1, whole genome shotgun sequence.
UCCUCGUAGCUCAGUCGGUAAAGAAUCUGCCUGAAAGGCAGGAGACCCAGGUUCGAUUCCUGCAUCAGGAA